GCCAGUGUAGCAUAGUGGUUUGAGUGUUGGACUAUGACUCUGGAAACCAAAGUUCAAUUCCCCGCUUGGCCA